GGCGGCUCGCGAGGCUCUUCCUCCCUCCCUUCAGCGCCGGGCACUUCCGGGCAUGCCCGAUCCGCCGCCGAAUUUUGGGAGUUGCCGCUGCCUCCUGACACUGCGCGCCCGGUCUAGUGGGCUAGGUAUGCAGGAACGCUCUAGGGAGGGAAUAGGAGGGCCCUGGCCUUGCGGGGACCCUUCACUGGUCCAGCUUAAAACUUUUCUGGCCUAAAAGCCCACUGAUGAUGUACCUCCUAACUGGUCUAGUCCACGAAGGGUACAAAAGACUGCAACCGUUUCCGCGCAAGAUUUUCUUGGGGCUACACCAGUCUGGAAAGCCGAAGUACAAUUUUUACUGAACACAUGCUGCGAGCCCAGAACUGUACGAACUGCCAAAACAAAAACAGCACUAUAGAGUCGCCAACAGGAAAUGAAGAGAACAGUUCGGGCAGACAGGUGAAGUUCCACAGUGGAGCAGUUUGCAGCCGGACGAAGUGAGCCGCGCCCCAGGCCUAGGAAAGGAGGGGGCGGCCGGGGAUUCUUGGAGAGCACAGAAGAGCCGGAUGCAUCCCAGGACUGGACGUUGGUGCUCAUUAGAGAAGGCCUUGGGCAUUUUCAGUUGUCAGCACUGACCCAAGCAAGGGUAGAGGUAUGGUGGUUCCCUUCCAUGAAUUCCUAAGAACCCAGCAUUGGAGUGCUGCCCUCAUCCUCAUCACUGAAGAUAGCGGCAUGAUGUUUACAGCAGGAGGAUGGCAGAAGGAACAAAGAAGAAGAAACCUAAGGGAGAGCAGAAACUCCUCCCUGGGGGAGAGUGAACACCUAAUGCCACUCUCUCUGGGGCCACCAUUGCCACUCAGUGGACUCAGAAAUCAACCAUCGAUGGCAAUAUGUUCCCUCCUGCCAUGGAUCUCAGUUGAUUUGUCUCAACAAAAAUAGCUCCGUCCAAAGGAACUGCCUUUAUUCCGAUGAGGAACAACUCAGGCUAUUGCUUCCACAGGAACCCAGCUCUAUCCAAGAUCUGAGAAUACCUCAGCUAAGAACAAGCACAGGCUCCAUGCUUUCUCACCACUCCCUGGCUGCCCUCCUGAAGUUGCC